AUAGACGUAGAUGAUUACUAAGUGUUGGAGGGUUUCCGCCCUUCAGUGCUGCAGCUAACGCAUUAAGUAAUCCGCCUGGGGAGUACGACCGCAAGGUUGAAACUCAAAAGAAUUGACGGGGGCCCGCACAAGCGGUGGAGCAUGUGGUUUAAUUCGAAGCUACGCGAAGAACCUUACCAGGUCUUGACAUCUUCUGCCAACCUAAGAGAUUAGGCGUUCCCUUCGGGGACAGAAUGACAGGUGGUGCAUGGUUGUCGUCAGCUCGUGUCGUGAGAUGUUGGGUUAAGUCCCGCAACGAGCGCAACCCUUAUUACUAGUUGCCAGCAUUCAGUUGGGCACUCUAGUGAGACUGCCGGUGACAAACCGGAGGAAGGUGGGGACGACGUCAAAUCAUCAUGCCCCUUAUGACCUGGGCUACACACGUGCUACAAUGGAUGGUACAACGAGUUGCGAAACCGCGAGGUUUAGCUAAUCUCUUAAAACCAUUCUCAGUUCGGACUGUAGGCUGCAACUCGCCUACACGAAGUCGGAAUCGCUAGUAAUCGCGGAUCAGCAUGCCGCGGUGAAUACGUUCCCGGGCCUUGUACACACCGCCCGUCACACCAUGAGAGUUUGUAACACCCAAAGCCGGUGGGGUAACCUUUUAGGAGCUAGCCGUCUAAGGUGGGACAGAUGAUUAGGGUGAAGUCGUACAAAGGGGUAACCCAUAUGCGUCCCUGGCGGCUGUUUUCCGGCAAUUGA
rnacentral:rRNA from 1 species